AGCUGCUUUCCCAGGCCACAAGCAGGAAGCUGGAUGGGAAGCGGAGCUGCUGGGAUUAGAACCAGCGCCCAUACAGAAUCCCGGGGUAUUCAAGGUAAGUAAUUUAGCUGCUAUGCUAUAGCGCUGGGCCCAAUCAGUAAUUAUUAUAAAUUGUAUUUUCAUUAAAAAUAAUGCCAUAGGAACUUCUUUGAGGGGAGAUAAUUCUCACUGUGAAGGUAUGCUACAGGAUAUAUUUGUGUACUUGCCAAGUUGUGACCAAUGUGGUCAUGAUCAAGAUGCUGCCAGAGCUUUCUGCCCUUGCUGUGGAAUGUAAGUAAGCCGAAGCUGCAGCUCUGAGGGCUGUAUGAGCACAAACUUCCCAGCAGGGUGUGAGAACGUGGUGUCCCCACACUGGCCAGCUUGGUCUUACCAAGUUUUCUCUUUCAGCAUUGUGUGUAAAUUUGGCAGUUCACAUCAAUCGUGUUAUCACUAGUGAAGUUGAGCAUCUUUUCAUUUUACCUGGUCAUCAGAACUAUGAAAAUUAUAUUCUUUGCCAAUUUUAAUUUUCAUAACUUUCACAGUGCUUAUUCAGAUCCUGUGUACAUUAGGAAAUCCAUUGCUAGCAUUAUGUUGUAAAUAUUUUUUCCUCCUUUCUUAAUGAAUACAUUUAUAAUUUUUUGCCCUAACAUUUGGGAACUCAGAUUUCUCAUUUUUAUUUAUGGCUGUUGGGUCUUGAAUGUUGCUUGUAAUUUCAUUAUCCAUCUCAAAAUACUUCUGUAACCCUUCAUUUUCAUGGUUUCCAUCUCCAUCCUACGUCCAUCGCUUACAACCUCAAAAAUUAAUCUGUUGACCCACUACCAGUUGUGCAGUCCUGCAUCUUGCCCCUGUUUUCAAUGCCCCGUUUUCUUUCAUACUCUGUUCUCGUGUGUAAUUGAUGUAUGUUGGGCUCUCUUCACUUAUCUUCACAUUUUGUUUCUAAGCUAUUUUAAUGGCCUACAUUUCAAUAUCUACCUCAAAUUUAUUUCAUAUGACAAUCCUAAAGAAUAAUGCUCCCCAUUGCUACAUUGAUUUUUAACUUAGUAUCUGCCACCCUCAUCUGACAGACUUCCUGUAUAUUGAUACAGAAGACAAGCUGGUACCACAAAUUUGUAACCUCUAAGUUGGGACUCAAAAUGAGAUGCUGUGGUAAGAAUUACCUGUAUUCUACAUUCAGGAAUGCCUGCUGGCCAGGGUGUGUAUAAAUAUGUGAUAUCCCAAGUCCCACAGCCCCAU